UACGAAGGGUGCAAACGUUGCUCGGAAUCAUUGGGCGUAAAGCGCACGUAGGCGGCUCCAAAAGUCGGAUGUGAAAUCCCUGGGCUCAACCGAGGAAGUGCAUCCGAAACUGCGGAGCUUGAGUAUGGAAGAGGGUCGCGGAAUUCCCGGUGUAGAGGUGAAAUUCGUAGAUAUCGGGAGGAACACCGGUGGCGAAGGCGGCGACCUGGGUCGAGACUGACGCUGAGGCGCGAAAGCGUGGGGAGCAAACAGG
rnacentral:rRNA from 1 species